rnacentral:rRNA from 1 species
UUAAGCGACUAAGCGUACACGGUGGAUGCCCUGGCAGUCAGAGGCGAUGAAGGACGUGCUAAUCUGCGAUAAGCGUCGGUAAGGUGAUAUGAACCGUUAUAACCGGCGAUUUCCGAAUGGGGAAACCCAGUGUGUUUCGACACACUAUCAUUAACUGAAUCCAUAGGUUAAUGAGGCGAACCGGGGGAACUGAAACAUCUAAGUACCCCGAGGAAAAGAAAUCAACCGAGAUUCCCCCAGUAGCGGCGAGCGAACGGGGAGCAGCCCAGAGCCUGAAUCAGUGUGUGUGUUAGUGGAAGCGUCUGGAAAGGCGCGCGAUACAGGGUGACAGCCCCGUACACAAAAAUGCACAUAUUGUGAGCUCGAUGAGUAGGGCGGGACACGUGGUAUCCUGUCUGAAUAUGGGGGGACCAUCCUCCAAGGCUAAAUACUCCUGACUGACCGAUAGUGAACCAGUACCGUGAGGGAAAGGCGAAAAGAACCCCGGCGAGGGGAGUGAAAAAGAACCUGAAACCGUGUACGUACAAGCAGUGGGAGCACGCUUAGGCGUGUGACUGCGUACCUUUUGUAUAAUGGGUCAGCGACUUAUAUUCUGUAGCAAGGUUAACCGAAUAGGGGAGCCGAAGGGAAACCGAGUCUUAACUGGGCGUUAAGUUGCAGGGUAUAGACCCGAAACCCGGUGAUCUAGCCAUGGGCAGGUUGAAGGUUGGGUAACACUAACUGGAGGACCGAACCGACUAAUGUUGAAAAAUUAGCGGAUGACUUGUGGCUGGGGGUGAAAGGCCAAUCAAACCGGGAGAUAGCUGGUUCUCCCCGAAAGCUAUUUAGGUAGCGCCUCGUGAAUUCAUCUCCGGGGGUAGAGCACUGUUUCGGCAAGGGGGUCAUCCCGACUUACCAACCCGAUGCAAACUGCGAAUACCGGAGAAUGUUAUCACGGGAGACACACGGCGGGUGCUAACGUCCGUCGUGAAGAGGGAAACAACCCAGACCGCCAGCUAAGGUCCCAAAGUCAUGGUUAAGUGGGAAACGAUGUGGGAAGGCCCAGACAGCCAGGAUGUUGGCUUAGAAGCAGCCAUCAUUUAAAGAAAGCGUAAUAGCUCACUGGUCGAGUCGGCCUGCGCGGAAGAUGUAACGGGGCUAAACCAUGCACCGAAGCUGCGGCAGCGACACUAUGUGUUGUUGGGUAGGGGAGCGUUCUGUAAGCCUGUGAAGGUGUGCUGUGAGGCAUGCUGGAGGUAUCAGAAGUGCGAAUGCUGACAUAAGUAACGAUAAAGCGGGUGAAAAGCCCGCUCGCCGGAAGACCAAGGGUUCCUGUCCAACGUUAAUCGGGGCAGGGUGAGUCGACCCCUAAGGCGAGGCCGAAAGGCGUAGUCGAUGGGAAACAGGUUAAUAUUCCUGUACUUGGUGUUACUGCGAAGGGGGGACGGAGAAGGCUAUGUUGGCCGGGCGACGGUUGUCCCGGUUUAAGCGUGUAGGCUGGUUUUCCAGGCAAAUCCGGAAAAUCAAGGCUGAGGCGUGAUGACGAGGCACUACGGUGCUGAAGCAACAAAUGCCCUGCUUCCAGGAAAAGCCUCUAAGCAUCAGGUAACAUCAAAUCGUACCCCAAACCGACACAGGUGGUCAGGUAGAGAAUACCAAGGCGCUUGAGAGAACUCGGGUGAAGGAACUAGGCAAAAUGGUGCCGUAACUUCGGGAGAAGGCACGCUGAUAUGUAGGUGAGGUCCCUCGCGGAUGGAGCUGAAAUCAGUCGAAGAUACCAGCUGGCUGCAACUGUUUAUUAAAAACACAGCACUGUGCAAACACGAAAGUGGACGUAUACGGUGUGACGCCUGCCCGGUGCCGGAAGGUUAAUUGAUGGGGUUAGCCGCAAGGCGAAGCUCUUGAUCGAAGCCCCGGUAAACGGCGGCCGUAACUAUAACGGUCCUAAGGUAGCGAAAUUCCUUGUCGGGUAAGUUCCGACCUGCACGAAUGGCGUAAUGAUGGCCAGGCUGUCUCCACCCGAGACUCAGUGAAAUUGAACUCGCUGUGAAGAUGCAGUGUACCCGCGGCAAGACGGAAAGACCCCGUGAACCUUUACUAUAGCUUGACACUGAACAUUGAGCCUUGAUGUGUAGGAUAGGUGGGAGGCUUUGAAGUGUGGACGCCAGUCUGCAUGGAGCCGACCUUGAAAUACCACCCUUUAAUGUUUGAUGUUCUAACGUUGACCCGUAAUCCGGGUUGCGGACAGUGUCUGGUGGGUAGUUUGACUGGGGCGGUCUCCUCCUAAAGAGUAACGGAGGAGCACGAAGGUUGGCUAAUCCUGGUCGGACAUCAGGAGGUUAGUGCAAUGGCAUAAGCCAGCUUGACUGCGAGCGUGACGGCGCGAGCAGGUGCGAAAGCAGGUCAUAGUGAUCCGGUGGUUCUGAAUGGAAGGGCCAUCGCUCAACGGAUAAAAGGUACUCCGGGGAUAACAGGCUGAUACCGCCCAAGAGUUCAUAUCGACGGCGGUGUUUGGCACCUCGAUGUCGGCUCAUCACAUCCUGGGGCUGAAGUAGGUCCCAAGGGUAUGGCUGUUCGCCAUUUAAAGUGGUACGCGAGCUGGGUUUAGAACGUCGUGAGACAGUUCGGUCCCUAUCUGCCGUGGGCGCUGGAGAACUGAGGGGGGCUGCUCCUAGUACGAGAGGACCGGAGUGGACGCAUCACUGGUGUUCGGGUUGUCAUGCCAAUGGCACUGCCCGGUAGCUAAAUGCGGAAGAGAUAAGUGCUGAAAGCAUCUAAGCACGAAACUUGCCCCGAGAUGAGUUCUCCCUGACUCCUUGAGAGUCCUGAAGGAACGUUGAAGACGACGACGUUGAUAGGCCGGGUGUGUAAGCGCAGCGAUGCGUUGAGCUAACCGGUACUAAUGAACCGUGAGGCUUAACCUU